rnacentral:rRNA from 1 species
UACAGAGGUGGCAAGCGUUGUUCGGAAUUACUGGGCGUAAAGGGCGCGUAGGCGGCCAUCUAAGUCAGACGUGAAAUCCCCCGGCUUAACCUGGGAACUGCGUCUGAUACUGGAAGGCUUGAGUAUGGGAGAGGGAUGUAGAAUUCCUGGUGUAGCGGUGAAAUGCGCAGAUAUCAGGAGGAACACCGGUGGCGAAGGCGGGUCUCUGGGCCGAUACUGACGCUGAGGAGCGAAAGCGUGGGGAGCGAACAGG